UACGAAGGGGGCUAGCGUUGCUCGGAAUCACUGGGCGUAAAGCGCACGUAGGCGGAUCUUUAAGUCAGGGGUGAAAUCCUGGAGCUCAACUCCAGAACUGCCUUUGAUACUGGGGAUCUCGAGUCCGGAAGAGGUAAGUGGAACUCCGAGUGUAGAGGUGAAAUUCGUAGAUAUUCGGAAGAACACCAGUGGCGAAGGCGGCUUACUGGUUCGGUACUGACGCUGAGGUGCGAAAGCGUGGGGAGCAAACAGG
rnacentral:rRNA from 1 species